AGUAGUUUGAUCAGUGGCUCGAGGACGAACGCUGGCGGCGUGCUUAACACAUGCAAGUCGAGCGGAGACAUGUAACGGAAGGCUUCGGCCGGAAGAUAUAUGUUUUAGCGGCGGACGGGUGAGUAACGCGUGAGCAACCUGUCCUUCACAGGGGGAUAAGAUACCGAAAGGUGUUCUAAUACCGCAUAAGACCACAACGUCACAUGGCGAAGGGGUCAAAGGAGCAAUCCGGUGAAGGGUGGGCUCGCGUCCGAUUAGAUAGUUGGUGAGGUAACGGCCCACCAAGUCGACGAUCGGUAGCCGACCUGAGAGGGUGAUCGGCCACAUUGGGACUGAGACACGGCCCAGACUCC
rnacentral:rRNA from 1 species